UACGGGGGAGGCAAGCGUUGUUCGGAUUUACUGGGCGUAAAGGGCGCGUAGGCGGCCACCGCAAGUCGACUGUGAAAUCUCCGGGCUUAACCCGGAAAGGUCAGCCGAUACUGCGGGGCUAGAGUGCAGGAAGGGGCAACUGGAAUUCUCGGUGUAGCGGUGAAAUGCGUAGAUAUCGAGAGGAACACCUGCGGCGAAGGCGGGUGCUGGGCUGACACUGACGCUGAUGCGCGAAAGCUAGGGGAGCGAACGGG
rnacentral:rRNA from 1 species